CCUGGUUGAUCCUGCCAGUAGCAUAUGCUUGUCUCAAAGAUUAAGCCAUGCAUGUCUAAGUACAAGCCGCUAGACGGCGAAACCGCGAAUGGCUCAAAAAUCAGUUAUGGUUCCUUAGAUCCACUCCAUCCUACUUGGAUAACUGUGGUAAUGCUAGUGAUAAUACAUGCACUCGAGCCUCGACUGCGCCCUGACUCUGGAUAACUUCACGCCGAACGCAUGGCCUUCGAGCCGGCGACGUAUUUUUCAAAUGUCUGCCUUAUCAACUGUCGAUGGUAGGUUACGCGCCUACCAUGGUUGCUACGCGUAACGGGGAAUCGGGGUUCGAUUCCGGAGAGGGAGCCUGAGAAACGGCUACCACAUCCAAGGAAGGCAGCAGGCGCGCCAAUUCCCCACGCCCGGCACGGGGAGGUAGUGACGAAAAAUAACGAUACGUGACUCUUCCGAGGCCCCGUGAUUGGAAUGAGUACACUUUAAAUCCUUUAACCAAGGAACCAUUGGAGGGCAAGUCUGGUGCCAGCAGCCGCGGUAAUUCCAGCUCUUCGGCCGGGCGGCGCCGCUCCUGAAUCAAGGGUGUUGCGUUUCACGCUCUUGGAGCCCGGGUGUCAAAGCCCGACUCUCUUCACGGUCGGACAACAUCGCCGGAGUGGUGGCCGGUGGGUCGCGUUGUAUCGGUUCGGGUGGCGAUUCGUUUUCUUCCUCUUCGGGGUUCGCUCCGUCGAGGGGGGGGUGAUCGCUCGCGUGCAGGUGACGCGGUUCGCUCCACCCAGUCAAUCGUUCGGGGUGCCCUUCACCGGGUGUCUCGGGCGGCCGGCAACGUUUACUUUGAACAAAUUAGAGUGCUCAAAGCAGGUGUAUCCCAACGCCAGAAUAUCGCAGCAUGGAAUGAUGGAAUAGGACCUAGGUCCUAUUCUGCUGGUCUUUUCUUUUGGACCCGAGGUAAUGGUCAAUAGAGACGGACGGGGGCAUUCGUACUGCGGCGACAGAGGUGAAAUUCUUGGACCGCCGCAAGACGAACAACAGCGAAGGCAUUUGCCAAGAAUGUUUUCCUUGAUCAAGAACGAAAGUUAGAGGUUAGAAGGCGAUCAGAUACCGCCCUAGUUCUAACCAUAAACGAUGCCAACCAGCAAAAGAAAAGACCAGCAAAAUCGGACCGAGGUCCUAUUCCAUCAUGCCAUGCUGCGAUAUUCAGGCGUUGGGAUACACCUGCUUUGAGCACUCUAAUUUGUUCAAAGUAAACGUUGCCGGCCGCCCGAGACACCCGGUGAAGGGCACCCCGAACGAUUGACUGGGUGGAGCGAACCGCGUCAACUGAACGCUAGCGAUCACCCCCCCCCUUGACGGGGCGAACCCCGAAGAGGAAGAAAACGAAACGCCCGCGAACCGAUUCAACGCGACCCCCCGGCCCCCACUCCGGCGAUGUUGUCCGACCGUGAAGAGAGUCGGGCUUUGACACCCGGGCUCCCAGAGCGUGAAACGCAACACCCUUGAUUCAGAGCGGCGCCGCCCGGCCGAAGACAGACAUCCGACUACGCGCUUUUUUAACCGCAACAACUUUAAUAUACACCAUUGGAGGGCAAGUCU
rnacentral:rRNA from 1 species